GACGAACGCUGGCGGCGUGCCUAAUACAUGCAAGUUGAGCGCUGAAGGUUGGUACUUGUACCAACUGGAUGAGCAGCGAACGGGUGAGUAACGCGUGGGGAAUCUGCCUUUGAGCGGGGGACAACAUUUGGAAACGAAUGCUAAUACCGCAUAAAAACUUUAAACACAAGUUUUAAGUUUGAAAGAUGCAAUUGCAUCACUCAAAGAUGAUCCCGCGUUGUAUUAGCUAGUUGGUGAGGUAAAGGCUCACCAAGGCGAUGAUACAUAGCAGACCUGAGAAGGUGAUCGGCCACAUUGGGACUGAGACACGGCCCAAACUCCUACGGGAGGCAGCAGUAGGGAAUCUUCGGCAAUGGACGAAAGUCUGACCGAGCAACGCCGCGUGAGUGAAGAAGGUUUUCGGAUCGUAAAACUCUGUUGGUAGAGAAGAACGUUGGUGAGAGUGGAAAGCUCAUCAAGUGACGGUAACUACCCAGAAAGGGACGGCUAACUACGUG
rnacentral:rRNA from 1 species